rnacentral:rRNA from 1 species
GAUGAACGCUGGCGGCGUGCCUAAUACAUGCAAGUCGAGCGAACAGACGAGGAGCUUGCUCCUCUGACGUUAGCGGCGGACGGGUGAGUAACACGUGGAUACCCUACCUAUAAGACUGGGAUAACUUCGGGAAACCGGAGCUAAUACCGGAUAAUAUAUUGAACCGCAUGGUUCAAUAGUGAAAGACGGUUUUGCUGUCACUUAUAGAUGGAUCCGCGCCGCAUUAGCUAGUUGGUAAGGUAACGGCUUACCAAGGCAACGAUGCGUAGCCGACCUGAGAGGGUGAUCGGCCACACUGGAACUGAGACACGGUCCAGACUCCUACGGGAGGCAGCAGUAGGGAAUCUUCCGCAAUGGGCGAAAGCUUGACGGAGCAACGCCGCGUGAGUGAUGAAGGUCUUCGGAUCGUAAAACUCUGUUAUUAGGGAAGAACAAAUGUGUAAGUAACUAUGCACGUCUUGACGGUACCUAAUCAAAAAGCAACGGCUAACUACGUG